CUUAAGUGGGGAAUAACGCAUCGAAAGGUGUGCUAAUACCGCAUAAUCUCUGAGGAGAAAAGCAGGGGAUCGCAAGACCUUGCGCUUUUGGAGCGGCCGAUGUCUGAUUAGCUUGUUGGUAAGGUAAAAGCUUACCAAGGCUUCGAUCAGUAGCUGGUCUGAGAGGACGACCAGCCACACUGGGACUGAGACACGGCCCAGACUCCUACGGGAGGCAGCAGUGGGGAAUUUUGGACAAUGGGGGCAACCCUGAUCCAGCCAUGCCGCGUGAGCGAAGAAGGCCUUCGGGUUGUAAAGCUCUUUCAGCCGGAACGAAACGGUUACGGUUAAUACCCGUGACUACUGACGGUACCGGAAGAAGAAGCACCGGCUAACUACGUGCCAGCAGCCGCGGUAAUACGUAGGGUGCGAGCGUUAAUCGGAAUUACUGGGCGUAAAGCGUGCGCAGGUGGUUUUGUAAGUCAGAUGUGAAAUCCCCGGGCUCAACCUGGGAACUGCGUUUGAAACUACAAGGCUAGAGUGUGGCAGAGGGGGGUGGAAUUCCGCGUGUAGCAGUGAAAUGCGUAGAGAUGUGGAGGAACACCGAUGGCGAAGGCAGCCCCCUGGGUCAACACUGACGCUCAGGCACGAAAGCAUGGGGAGCAAACAGGAUUAGAUACCCUGGUAGUCCAUGCCCUAAACGAUGUCAUCUAGUUGUCGGGCCUUAACGGGCUUGGUAACGUAGCUAACGCGUGAAGUUGACCGCCUGGGGAGUACGAUCGCAAGAUUAAAACUCAAAGGAAUUGACGGGGACCCGCACAAGCGGUGGAUUAUGUGGAUUAAUUCGAUGCAACGCGAAAAACCUUACCUACUCUUGACAUGUAUCGAAGCCCGCAGAAAAGCGGGGGUGCCCGAAAGGGAACGAUAACACAGGUGCUGCAUGGCUGUCGUCAGCUCGUGUCGUGAGAUGUUGGGUUAAGUCCCGCAACGAGCGCAACCCUUGUCAUUAAUUGCCAUCAUUUAGUUGGGCACUUUAAUGAGACUGCCGGUGACAAACCGGAGGAAGGUGGGGAUGACGUCAAGUCCUCAUGGCCCUUAUGGGUAGGGCUUCACACGUAA
rnacentral:rRNA from 1 species